GAAGGCAGCAGAACGUUGGAGCUGCGAGGAGCGUGUCUGUGUUGGCAUCCCAUUGACGGAAGUGGUGGCGUAUCCAUACCCCACGGGAAACCGGUUGGUAGAGAGACUUCCCUGAGCAUUGGCAUCGCGGAGAGAAAGCGUGCUUUGAGCGAGGGUCGGCAUUGCAGAGAGAAAAUUGACUACGUGUGAAGGUAAAUGGUGGCCGGUUCUUGUUUGACUUGGCUGACUGGACAUUUGCUGUUACUUCCAUGCUUGGUUUACAAGUUGUUCACUUAGGGUAAUUUUCCUUACAGUUGCGACUACAACCACAUCCUACAAAAAAACGGGUGCUUGCUUCAAGACGUCAUAUGAACCGGUGUUUAAUUGUGGAGUGCGGAAACUUCGCGACCAGCCGAAGGUGGAGGUGCCAGUGGGACAGGCUUCUUGGCUGCAGCUCCAGCGUGCGCUGUGGUCACUGUUUCUCUCCCUGGAGAUUUGACUUGGACUGUGCGCGCCCAAUGCGCAUGAGCGUGCGGGUGCGUGUGUGACUGUGUGAGCGUCUGUGCACUGUGCGGUGCCUACA